rnacentral:rRNA from 1 species
GAUGAACGCUGGCGGCGUGCCUAAUACAUGCAAGUCGAGCGAACAGACGAGGAGCUUGCUCCUCUGACGUUAGCGGCGGACGGGUGAGUAACACGUGGAUAACCUACCUAUAAGACUGGGAUAACUUCGGGAAACCGGAACUAAUACCGGAUAAUAUAUUGAACCUCAUUGUUCAAUAGUGAAAGACGGUUUUGCUGUCACUUAUAGAUAGAUCCGCGCCGCAUUAGCUAGUUGGUAAGGUAACGGCUUACCAAGGCAACGAUGCGUAGCCGACCUGAGAGGGUGAUCGGCCACACUGGAACUGAGACACGGUCCAGACUCCUACGGGAGGCAGCAGUAGGGAACCUUCCGCAAUGGGCGAAAGCCUGACGGAGCAACGCCGCGUGAGUGAUGAAGGUCUUCGGAUCGUAAAACUCUGUUAUUAGGGAAGAACAAAUGUGUAAGUAACUAUGCACGUCUUGACGGUACCUAAUCAGAAAGCCACGGCUAACUACGUG